rnacentral:rRNA from 1 species
UGGUUCUGGCAUCGAUGAAGAACGCAGCGAAAUGCGAUAAGUAAUGUGAAUUGCAGAAUUCAGUGAAUCAUCGAAUCUUUGAACGCACAUUGCGCCCAUUAGUAUUCUAGUGGGCAUGCCUGUUCGAGCGUCAUUUCAACCCUUAAGCCCCUGUUGCUUAGCGUUGGGAGCCUACGGCCUGCUGUAGCUCCUUAAAGGUAGUGGCGGAGUCGGUUCACACUCUAGACGUAGUAAAAUCUUUAUCUCGCCUAUAGAUGAGCCGGCGCCUUGCCGUAAAACCCCUAAUCUUUCACAAGGUUGACCUCGGAUCAGGUAGGAAUACCCGCUGAACUUAAGCAUAUCAAUAAGCGGAGGAAAAGAAACCAACAGGGAUUGCCCUAGUAACGGCGAGUGAAGCGGCAACAGCUCAAAUUUGAAAUCUGGCCUUCGGGUCCGAGUUGUAAUUUGUAGAGGAUGCUUUGGGUGCGGUGCCUUCCGAGUUCCCUGGAACGGGACGCCUUAGAGGGUGAGAGCCCCGUACGGUUGGACAUCAAGCCUCUGUAAAGCUCCUUCGACGAGUCGAGUAGUUUGGGAAUGCUGCUCUAAAUGGGAGGUAAAUUUCUUCUAAAGCUAAAUAUUGGCCAGAGACCGAUAGCGCACAAGUAGAGUGAUCGAAAGAUGAAAAGCACUUUGAAAAGAGGGUUAAAUAGCACGUGAAAUUGUUGAAAGGGAAGCGUUUGCGACCAGACCUUUUCUCAGCGGAUCAUCCGGUGUUCUCACCGGUGCACUUCGCUGGGUUGAGGCCAGCAUCGGUUUCCGCAGGGGGAUAAAAGCCUGGGGAACGUAGCUCCCUCGGGAGUGUUAUAGCCCCUCGCAUAAUACCCUUGCGGGGACCGAGGACCGC